CCUACGGGUGGCAGCAGUGGGGAAUAUUGGACAAUGGGCGAAAGCCUGAUCCAGCCAUGCCGCGUGUGUGAAGAAGGCCUUCGGGUUGUAAAGCACUUUCAGUGGGGAAGAAAGCCUUGGGGCUAAUACCCUCGAGGAAGGACAUCACCCACAGAAGAAGCACCGGCUAACUCCGUGCCAGCAGCCGCGGUAAUACGGAGGGUGCGAGCGUUAAUCGGAAUUACUGGGCGUAAAGCGCGCGUAGGCGGUCUGAUAAGCCGGUUGUGAAAGCCCCGGGCUCAACCUGGGAACGGCAUCCGGAACUGUCAGGCUAGAGUGCAGGAGAGGAAGGUAGAAUUCCCGGUGUAGCGGUGAAAUGCGUAGAGAUCGGGAGGAGUACCAGUGGCGAAGGCGGCCUUCUGGACUGACACUGACGCUGAGGUGCGAAAGCGUGGGUAGCAAACAGGAUUAGAUACCCCGGUAGUC
rnacentral:rRNA from 1 species